rnacentral:rRNA from 1 species
GUUAUAUGGUCAAGCGAAUAAGCGCACACGGUGGAUGCCUUGGCGGUCAGAGGCGAUGAAGGACGUGGCAGCCUGCGAAAAGUAUCGGGGAGCUGGCAACAAGCUUUGAUCCGGUAAUGUCCGAAUGGGGAAACCCACCCGCUUGCGGGUAUCCUGCAGUGAAUACAUAGCUGCUGGAAGCGAACCUGGUGAACUGAAAUAUCUAAGUAACCAGAGGAAAAGAAAUCAACCGAGAUUCCGUAAGUAGCGACGAGCGAACGCGGACUAGCCCUUAAGCUGAUUUGGUUCUAGGAAAACACUCUGGAAAGAGUGGCCAUAGAAGGUGAUAGCCCUGUAUCUGAAAGGGCCAUUUCAGUGAAGACGAGUAGGGCGGGGCACGUGAAACCCUGUCUGAACAUGGGGGGACCAUCCUCCAAGGCUAAAUACUACUGACCGACCGAUAGUGAACCAGUACCGUGAGGGAAAGGCGAAAAGAACCCCGGAGAGGGGAGUGAAAUAGAACCUGAAACCGUGUGCGUACAAGCAGUAGGAGCUCCGCAAGGAGUGACUGCGUACCUUUUGUAUAAUGGGUCAGCGACUUACUGUUCGUGGCAAGCUUAACCGUAUAGGGGAGGCGAAGGGAAACCGAGUCUGAUAAGGGCGCAUAGUCGCGGGCAGUAGACCCGAAACCGGGUGAUCUAGUCAUGCCCAGGGUGAAGGUGCGGUAACACGCACUGGAGGCCCGAACCCACUCCCGUUGCAAAGGUAGGGGAUGAGGUGUGAUUAGGAGUGAAAAGCUAAUCGAACCCGGAGAUAGCUGGUUCUCCUCGAAAGCUAUUUAGGUAGCGCCUCAUAUGUAUCCUCUCGGGGGUAGAGCACUGUUAUGGCUAGGGGGUCAUCGCGACUUACCAAACCAUUGCAAACUCCGAAUACCGAGACGGACUGUAUGGGAGACACACGGCGGGUGCUAACGUCCGUCGUGAAAAGGGAAACAACCCAGACCCACAGCUAAGGUCCCAAAUUUUGUGCUAAGUGGAAAACCAUGUGGAAAGGCACAGACAGCCAGGAGGUUGGCUUAGAAGCAGCCACCCUUUAAAGAAAGCGUAAUAGCUCACUGGUCGAGUCGGUCUGCGGGGAAGAUUUAACGGGGCUAAGCACAGAACCGAAGCUUGGGGUGCAUAACUUUGUUAUGCGCGGUAGAGGAGCGUUCCGUAAGCCGUUGAAGGUGGAUUGAGAAGUCUGCUGGAGGUAUCGGAAGUGCGAAUGCUGACAUGAGUAACGAUAAUGCGGGUGAAAAACCCGCACGCCGAAAGCCCAAGGUUUCCUUGCGCAACGUUAAUCGGCGCAGGGUGAGUCGGCCCCUAAGGCGAGGACGAAAGUCGUAGUCGAUGGGAAGCAGGUUAAUAUUCCUGCACCUCGCGUAAGUGCGAUGGAGGGACGGAGAAGGUUAGGUGUACCAGGCGUUGGUUGUCCUGGGGAAAGGCGGUAGGUUUGGAUCUUUGGCAAAUCCGGGAUCCUUUAAGACCGAGCACCGAGACGAGCCUUUAUGGCAAAGUCACUGAUACCACGCUUCCAGGAAAAGCUCCUAAGCUUCAGCUUACGCAGACCGUACCGUAAACCGACACAGGUGGGUAGGAUGAGAAUUCUCAGGCGCUUGAGAGAACUCGGGUGAAGGAACUAGGCAACAUGGCACCGUAACUUCGGGAGAAGGUGCACCCUUUUUGGUGGCUCGUGCGAGCUAUAGCUGAAGAGGGUCGCAGUAACCAGGCCGCUGCGACUGUUUAUCAAAAACACAGCACUCUGCAAACACGAAAGUGGACGUAUAGGGUGUGACGCCUGCCCGGUGCUGGAAGGUUAAUUGAUGGGGUCAGCCGCAAGGCGAAGCUCUUGAUCGAAGCCCCAGUAAACGGCGGCCGUAACUAUAACGGUCCUAAGGUAGCGAAAUUCCUUGUCGGGUAAGUUCCGACCUGCACGAAUGGCGUAACGACAGCGGCGCUGUCUCCACCCGAGACUCAGUGAAAUUGAAA